AAUAAGGUAGUGUAGUGUGCACAUAAGGUUUUGGUCCUUAAAGAAUAACUCGAUGUUUCCUUGUUA
rnacentral:tRNA from 1 species